rnacentral:lncRNA from 1 species
CCACAUUCCUUUUUCAUCAUGGCCACACGUUUCAUCAAACGGUCACGCGCUAUUUUUCCUUAAGUUCCACAUCGGCCAAAUUGAUGUUUUGUCUCUUGUGAAAUUAGUAUAAAUAGGCCCCUUUUCUCCACUUUCUAGACAGACAACUUUGUAACAAUUAACUUGUAAAACGAGAAUAUAACUCGUAUAGUUAGUUGGAAAGAAUUCUUAAGCCUUUGCGGGAAUUCUUUCUAAAGUUGAAUAUUAUUUUCUUUUGUGCCGACGUUAUUCCUUGGAGCUUUUAUCCAGGUUUUUAUUUUAUUUUCUUUCUUUUAUUUUUUCUUUAUUGCCUUUUUUUUAUUUAUUUAUGCUUUAUUUAUUUAUUUGCUUUAUGUUUUUAUUUCCCGCUUAUUUAUUUAUUUUGUCUUUAGUUUUAGUUUUAGUUAUGUCUAGCUAAUUUAAUAUUGCUAGGAUGUGUGAUUAGUAGCUAGUAGGGUUUCGAUAGUUAGUUCGCGCGCUAGUUUCUUUUAAGUUUUCUUUAAGCAGUUUUUAUUUUUAAAUGAUUAUAAUUUGUCACGAGAGUGAGAAUUAAUUAAAGUAGGAUCAACAUAGAACGCCACUUGAGAUUUCUACUAGAUAGUAAAAACUGAACAUUGAUUCUAAUUCGGAAGAACGCCCACUUAGGAUUAGAGUCGAUAAUUAUUUCUAAUUCGGAAGAACGCCCAUUUAGGAUUAGAAGUAAUUUAAUUAUAUUUGGUUUUCAAAAAGUACUUUAUUAGCGGAUGUGAGACG